CAAGAAGAGACCCUAACCGGUCCUCUCAACCCUGCCCAUCGUACCUUUCUUGUUGUUCCCUCGGCGGUGCUCGCGGGCCCGCCGGCGGGAAGACCAAACAAACCCUUUGCAAACAAGCAUAUCGAAUCUCUGAUCAGACAUGAAUUGUCACAACUUUCAACAAUGGAUCUCUUGGUUCUGGCAUCGAUGAAGAACGCAGCGAAAUGCGAUAAGUAGUGUGAAUUGCAGAAUUCAGUGAAUCAUCGAAUCUUUGAACGCACAUUGCGCCCCUCGGUAUUCCGUGGGGCAUGCCUGUUCGAGCGUCAUUUACACCCCUCAAGCUCUGCUUGGUGUUGGGCGUCUGUCCGCCGCCGCGAGGCGGGGGACUCGCCCCAAAGGCAUUGGCAGCGGCGUCCGCCGGGCUUUCCCCAUCAGCGCAGCACUGUUCGCGCACCUCGGGGACCCGCGCGGAGGCAGCGUCCACGAAGCGCCCACCUUUUGACUUGACCUCGGAUCAGGUAGGGAUACCCGCUGAACUUAAGCAUAUCAAUAAGCGGAGGAAUCGGCAUCUUGGUCAUUUAGAGGAAGUAAAAGUCGUAACAAGGUUUCCGUAGGUGAACCUGCGGAAGGAUCAUUAACGAGUUUUAAUUGUUAGGUUAGAGUUGAGCUGGUUAAUCUAAUUAAUAUGUGCUUACUCUAAUCGAAACAAGUCCACUCAUUACUUAACACUUGUGAACUUAUUCAUUACAAACAUUAUUAUUUGUUAUUGGAACGUUUGAUUAUUAAAAAGUUAAUA
rnacentral:misc_RNA from 1 species